rnacentral:rRNA from 1 species
UACGUAGGGACCAAGCGUUGUUCGGAUUUACUGGGCGUAAAGGGCGCGUAGGCGGCUUGACAAGUCACUUGUGAAAUCUCCGGGCUUAACUCGGAGCGGCCAAGUGAAACUGUCGAGCUAGAGUGUAGAAGGGGCAAUCGGAAUUCUUGGUGUAGCGGUGAAAUGCGUAGAUAUCAAGAGGAACACCUGAGGUGAAGACGGGUUGCUGGUCUAACACUGACGCUGAGACGCGAAAGCGUGGGGAGCAAACAGG